rnacentral:rRNA from 1 species
AUUGAACGCUGGCGGCAUGCCUUACACAUGCAAGUCGAACGGCAGCACGGGUGCUUGCACCUGGUGGCGAGUGGCGAACAGGUGAGUAAUACAUCGGAACAUGUCCUGUAGUGGGGGAUAGCCCGGCGAAAGCCGGAUUAAUACCGCAUACGAUCUACGGAUGAAAGCGGGGGACCUUCGGGCCUCGCGCUAUAGGGUUGGCCGAUGGCUGAUUAGCUAGUUGGUGGGGUAAAGGCCUACCAAGGCGACGAUCAGUAGCUGGUCUGAGAGGACGACCAGCCACACUGGGACUGAGACACGGCCCAGACUCCUACGGGAGGCAGCAGUGGGGAAUUUUGGACAAUGGGCGAAAGCCUGAUCCAGCAAUGCCGCGUGUGUGAAGAAGGCCUUCGGGUUGUAAAGCACUUUUGUCCGGAAAGAAAUCCUUGGCCCUAAUACGGUCGGGGGAUGACGGUACCGGAAGAAUAAGCACCGGCUAACUACGUG